AUUGAACGCUGGCGGCAGGCCUAACACAUGCAAGUCGAGCGCGAAAAUUCCUUCGGGGAUGAGUAGAGCGGCGGACGGGUGAGUAAUGCGCAGAAAUCUGCCCAGUAGUGGGGGACAACCUGGUGAAAACCAGGCUAAUACCGCAUACGCCCUACGGGGGAAAGCAGGGGAUCUUCGGACCUUGCGCUAUUGGAUGAGUCUGCGUCGGAUUAGCUUGUUGGUGAGGUAAUGGCUCACCAAGGCGACGAUCCGUAGCUGGUCUGAGAGGAUGAUCAGCCACACUGGGACUGAGACACGGCCCAGACUCCUACGGGAGGCAGCAGUGGGGAAUAUUGGACAAUGGGCGAAAGCCUGAUCCAGCCAUGCCGCGUGUGUGAAGAAGGCUCUAGGGUUGUAAAGCACUUUCAGUGGGGAAGAAAGCUUGUUAGCUAAUAACUGACGAGUGUGACAUUACCCACAGAAGAAGCACCGGCUAACUCCG
rnacentral:rRNA from 1 species